rnacentral:rRNA from 1 species
CCCCUGCCUGCUAAAUAGUUGGGCGAAUGAAUAUUCAUUGGCUACAGCUUCUUAGAGGGACGUGCGUUCUAUUAGACGCAGGAAGAUAGGGGCAAUAACAGGUCUGUGAUGCCCUUAGAUGUCCUGGGCCGCACGCGCGUUACACUGAUGCACUCAACGAGUCUACCUUGGCCGAGAGGCCUGGGAAAUCUUGUUAACUUGCAUCGUGAUAGGGAUAGAUUAUUGCAAUUAUUAAUCUUGAACGAGGAAUUCCUAGUAAACGCAGAUCAUCAAUCUGCAUUGAUUACGUCCCUGCCCUUUGUACACACCGCCCGUCGCACCUACCGAUUGAAUGGUCCGGUGAAGCCUCGGGAUUGCGAUGAGUUUCCUUCAUUGGGAGUUCGUCGCGAGAACCUGUCUAAACCUUAUCAUUUAGAGGAAGGUGAAGUCGUAACAAGGUUUCC